GGAUGUGAGGGUGAUCUGGUUGCGACAUCUGUCACCCCAUUGAUCGCCAGAGUUGAUUCGGCUGAUCUGGCUGGCUAGACAGGUGUCCCCUUCCUCCCUCACCACUCCAUGUGCAUCCCUCCCGAAGCUGCAUGCUUGGUUGAAGAGGACAACCAUCCUGGAUAGAGGAGGACCAGUCUUUGGUCAAGGGUGUACGAGUAGCUGUGCUCCCCUGCUAGAACCUCCAAACAAGCGCUCAAGGUCCACUCCAGCAUUCUUGUGUAAAGAAUCCUUUGCACAGAGAAGCCUU
ensembl:misc_RNA 7SK 7SK RNA